AAAGAUCGGAAAGUCACUCGAAAAUGCAACUUGAGCUACCAUGAUAUAUAUGAUGUCCAAUCAUAUUUACUUAAAAAAUGAUAUUCUGCUUUCACAAUUAGAAACAAGGCACAUUUACUUAUUCAACGACAAAGAUACCAUUAUAUUUUUCAUAUUUGUUUACCAAAUUUUGUUCACCUAAUUAAUAAUGUUUCGUGACAAUGUUUAAUUAGACGAUACUUACGUGAUAAGUUCAGACAGUUUAAAUAAAGAAAAAUUAUGUAUUAGUAAUAUAAUAGUUUAGGUGCGUAGUUUCUGGACAGUGGCAAAUUGGCAAUGCAUUGGAGACAUUGUUGAAGAAUCUUCAAAGGAGCUUCUACAAUUUCAUAACCUGGCAACCGAAAUGGGUCUUUAUUGACCAGAUUAGGUUUCGAGUGAACAGUGGAGGAGUUCUUAUAUGCUCAUAAAGGAAGAAGAUCGUGGAAGAAGAGGGGUUGCCCAAAUUACCUAGUCGUUAAAUGCCCACUUGCCCAUGAAAUCCAAGUUAAUAGGCAGACGUGGGCUAGAGCUAACGGAACAAAUUGGCCCGCACCAUUAAUUGGCCAA